rnacentral:rRNA from 1 species
GAUCUAUCCAUGGCCAGGAUGAAGGUGCGGUAACACGUACUGGAGGUCCGAACCCACUAACGUUGAAAAGUUAGGGGAUGAGCUGUGGAUAGGGGUGAAAGGCUAAACAAACCUGGAAAUAGCUGGUUCUCUCCGAAAACUAUUUAGGUAGUGCCUCGUGUCUCACCUUCGGGGGUAGAGCACUGUCAUGGUUGGGGGGUCUAUUGCAGAUUACCCCGCCAUAGCAAACUCCGAAUACCGAAGAGUGCAAUCACGGGAGACAGACAUCGGGUGCUAACGUCCGGUGUCAAGAGGGAAACAACCCAGACCGCCAGCUAAGGUCCCCAAAUAUAGCUAAGUGGGAAACGAAGUGGGAAGGCUAAAACAGUCAGGAGGUUGGCUUAGAAGCAGCCACCCUUUAAAGAAAGCGUAAUAGCUCACUGAUCGAGUCGUCCUGCGCGGAAGAUGUAACGGGGCUAAGCUAUAUACCGAAGCUGCGGAUGCGAGCUUGCUCGCAUGGUAGGAGAGCGUUCCGUAAGCCUGCGAAGGUGCCUUGUAAAGGGUGCUGGAGGUAUCGGAAGUGCGAAUGCUGACAUGAGUAGCGAUAAAGGGGGUGAAAGGCCCCCCUCGCCGUAAGCCCAAGGUUUCCUACGCAACGUUCAUCGGCGUAGGGUGAGUCGGCCCUAAGGCGAGGCAGAAUGCGUAGCUGAUGGGAAGCAGGUCAAUAUUCCUGCACCAUUGUUAGAUGCGAUGGGGGACGGAUCGCGGAAGGUUGUCCGGGUGUUGGAAGUCCCGGUCGCUGCAUUGGAGAAGGCACUUAGGCAAAUCCGGGUGCGUAAUUCAAGGGUGUGGCGCGAGCUCCUUCGGGAGCGAAGCAAUUGGAAGUGGUUCCAAGAAAAGCCUCUAAGCUUCAGUCUAACGAUGACCGUACCGCAAACCGACACAGGUGGGCGAGAUGAGUAUUCUAAGGCGCUUGAGAGAACUCGGGAGAAGGAACUCGGCAAAUUGGUACCGUAACUUCGGGAUAAGGUACGCCCUUGUAGCUUGACUGGCCUGCGCCAGGAGGGUGAAGGGGUUGCAAUAAACUGGUGGCUGCGACUGUUUAAUAAAACACAGCACUCUGCAAACACGAAAGUGGACGUAUAGGGUGUGACGCCUGCCCGGUGCCGGAAGAUUAAAUGAUGGGGUGCAAGCUCUUGAUUGAAGUCCCGGUAAACGGCGGCCGUAACUAUAACGGUCCUAAGGUAGCGAAAUUCCUUGUCGGGUAAGUUCCGACCUGCACGAAUGGCGUAACGAUGGCCACACUGUCUCCUCCCGAGACUCAGCGAAGUUGAAGUGUUUGUGAUGAUGCAAUCUACCCGCGGCUAGACGGAAAGACCCCAUGAACCUUUACUGUAGCUUUGCAUUGGACUUUGAACCGAUCUGUGUAGGAUAGGUGGGAGGCUAUGAAACCGGAACGCUAGUUUCGGUGGAGCCGUCCUUGAAAUACCACCCUGGUUUGUUUGAGGUUCUAACCUUGGCCCGUGAUCCGGGUCGGGGACAGUGCAUGGUAGGCAGUUUGACUGGGGCGGUCUCCUCCCAAAGCGUAACGGAGGAGUACGAAGGUACGCUAGGUACGGUCGGAAAUCGUGCUGAUAGUGCAAUGGCAUAAGCGUGCUUAACUGCGAGACCGACAAGUCGAGCAGGUGCGAAAGCAGGUCAUAGUGAUCCGGUGGUUCUGUAUGGAAGGGCCAUCGCUCAACGGAUAAAAGGUACUCUGGGGAUAACAGGCUGAUACCGCCCAAGAGUUCAUAUCGACGGCGGUGUUUGGCACCUCGAUGUCGGCUCAUCUCAUCCUGGGGCUGUAGCCGGUCCCAAGGGUAUGGCUGUUCGCCAUUUAAAGAGGUACGUGAGCUGGGUUUAAAACGUCGUGAGACAGUUUGGUCCCUAUCUGCCGUGGGCGUUGGAUAUUUGAAGGGGGCUGCUCCUAGUACGAGAGGACCGGAGUGGACGAACCUCUGGUGUACCGGUUGUCACGCCAGUGGCAUCGCCGGGUAGCUAUGUUCGGAAGAGAUAACCGCUGAAAGCAUCUAAGCGGGAAACUCGCCUUAAGAUGAGAUAUCCCUGGGGACUAGAUCCCCUUGAAGGGUCGUUCGAGACCAGGACGUUGAUAGGUCAGGUGUGUAAGCGCAGUAAUGCGUUCAGCUAACUGAUACUAAUUGCCCGUAAGGCUUGAUC